UGGGGACCGGAGGCUUGUGGUGCCAGGAGGGACCAGAGACUGAGGCUGGAGACCAGGGGCCUGCAGCACCGGACCAGAGGACCAGGAAUCUAUUUCUGGGGGAGCCGUGCUGAAGGAGCUGCUGGAGGAGUCGUGCUGAGGGCCUGCCUGCUGGUGGAGAAGUCGUGCUGAGGGCCUGCCUGCUGGAGGAGCUGGUGGAGGAGUCGUGCUGAGGGCCUGCCUGGUGGAGGAGCUGGUGGAGGCCCUGCCUGGUGAAGGACGUCUGUCGUGGGACCAGGAAUCUGUCUGAGGAGAGCUGCUGGAUUCCUCAACGUGUUUCUGGAGCGGAGGCGAGCUGGUAGGGGAGCCAUGAAUCUGGAGGAUGACCAUCACUCUACCAACAAGGAUUGUAAGUCUGUAUUAACCUAACAAAGUGGAAAUAAAGGGCUUAAAAAUAAGACAAACUACAUGUUUUUUUACCAGACGUUGGGGCCAGACUCGCGCUGUUUGUUCCAGACCAGGACUCGGGCUGUGGUGAGCUGAUGGAGGAGCCAAGACUCUGGAGGACGACAUCACUCCACCAACCAGGAUCCUCACCAGGAAUCUGGAGGACUGAUGGAGAAGCCGUAC